UCUAAAAAUAUCUAAACCCUAACCUCCCUCCCCACCUUCGUCAAUUUUUCUCCCAAACCCUUUCCCACACCACAAUCUUCUCUUACUUGGCUUCGUGUUCGUCUUCUCCUGUUUGGCUUCAUGUUCGUCUUCUCUUGCUUGGUUGAGCGUCAAGGUAGAGCGUCGAGGCAUUUGUGGGUUGAGCGAGGUCGAGGUGCUCUGGCGCGCUCCCGCACUGAUCGAUCUUAGGUCGAGGUUGAGGUACUAGGAAUCUGCUGGGGCGAUUUCUAUCACUACAUUACAAAACGUUCCGUCUCCAAUCCCUCAAACUCAAAUCCUCCCUGAUUUUUGAAUGGAGCUUGCAAAAUCAAGGUCAAAUCCUGUGGUCGAGAGAUUGUAGUAGGUAUAUUCCUAGUUUGGUAGCUUACAAUUAAUUGUGGUCUUGUGUUUGGAAUCUUGAAGUACUUUUCUGCCCAAGCCAAAACCCUCUAAUUGGAUUACUCAUCAAAUUUAGGCAAUUUAACCCUCUGUCUGCACUGCCUUUCUUUAGCCAUCAUUGGUUGUGUUUGGAUCAUUGGUUGGAUGAAAUCUGAAUCCUGGAGGCACACAUGAUUCCUUAUCAACUGAUGAUCUCUCCUGAAACAAGCAAAGGAAAAGGAUUAAAUUCAUAUCUAGUUUAGUAUCUUUGAGAUUCAUGAUUUUGUAUUCUAAGUUAUAAAAUGCUAAAAUUAAAUUUAAGUUUCUUAUCUUUAAUCAAAUUAAUUUAAGUUAGACUCUUGGUCAUCCGAAUAAGUUUAAUCCAUGAAUGUAUGAAAGAUGAGUUGAUUGAGUUUUCGCUUGAACA